rnacentral:rRNA from 1 species
AUUGAACGCUGGCGGCAGGCUUAACACAUGCAAGUCGAGCGGAGAUGAGGUGCUUGCACCUUAUCUUAGCGGCGGACGGGUGAGUAAUGCUUAGGAAUCUGCCUAUUAGUGGGGGACAACAUUCCGAAAGGAAUGCUAAUACCGCAUACGUCCUACGUGAGAAAGCAGGGGAUCUUCGGACCUUGCGCUAAUAGAUGAGCAUAAGUCGUAGUAGCUAGGUGGUGGGGUAAAGGCCUACCAAGGCGACGAUCUGUAGCGGGUCUGAGAGGAUGAUCCGCCACACUGGGACUGAGACACGGCCCAGACUCCUACGGGAGGCAGCAGUGGGGAAUAGGACAAUGGGGGGAACCCUGAUCCAGCCAUGCCGCGUGUGUUAAGAAGGCCUUAUGGUUGUAAAGCACUUUAAGCGAGGAGGAGGCUACUGAGACUAAUACUCUUGGAUAGUGGACGUUACUCGCAGAAUAAGCACCGGCUAACUCUGUGCCAGCAGCCGCCGUAAAAC